rnacentral:rRNA from 1 species
AAUAGAUACCCCGGUAGUCCACGCCGUAAACGAUGAGUGCUAAGUGUUAGAGGGUUUCCGCCCUUUAGUGCUGAAGUUAACGCAUUAAGCACUCCGCCUGGGGAGUACGGCCGCAAGGCUGAAACUCAAAGGAAUUGACGGGGGCCCGCACAAGCGGUGGAGCAUGUGGUUUAAUUCGAAGCAACGCGAAGAACCUUACCAGGUCUUGACAUCCUCUGACAACCCUAGAGAUAGGGCUUCUCCUUCGGGAGCAGAGUGACAGGUGGUGCAUGGUUGUCGUCAGCUCGUGUCGUGAGAUGUUGGGUUAAGUCCCACAACGAGCGCAACCCUUGAUCUUAGUUGCCAUCAUUCAGUUGGGCACUCUAAGGUGACUGCCGGUGACAAACCGGAGGAAGGUGGGGAUGACGUCAAAUCAUCAUGCCCCUUAUGACCUGGGCUACACACGUGCUACAAUGGACGGUACAAAGAGCUGCAAGACCGCGAGGUGGAGCUAAUCUCAUAAAACCCGUUCUCAGUUCGGA